rnacentral:rRNA from 1 species
AGUGAACGCUGGCGGUAGGCCUAACACAUGCAAGUCGAACGGCAGCACAGUAAGAGCUUGCUCUUACGGGUGGCGAGUGGCGGACGGGUGAGGAAUACAUCGGAAUCUACUUUUUCGUGGGGGAUAACGUAGGGAAACUUACGCUAAUACCGCAUACGACCUACGGGUGAAAGCAGGGGGUCUUCGGACCUUGCGCGAUUGAAUGAGCCGAUGUCGGAUUAGCUAGUUGGCGGGGUAAAGGCCCACCAAGGCGACGAUCCGUAGCUGGUCUGAGAGGAUGAUCAGCCACACUGGAACUGAGACACGGUCCAGACUCCUACGGGAGGCAGCAGUGGGGAAUAUUGGACAAUGGGCGCAAGCCUGAUCCAGCCAUACCGCGCGGGUGAAGAAGGCCUUCGGGUUGUAAAGCCCUUUUGUUGGGAAAGAAAAGCAGCAGGUUAAUACCCCGCUGUUCUGACGGUACCCAAAGAAUAAGCACCGGCUAACUUCGUG